GUCAGAUGUGAAAGCCUUCUGUUCAACGGAAGAAUUGCAUCUGAAACUACAAACCUUGAGUAUAGGAGGGGAGAGUGAAACUUCUGGUGGAGCGGUGAAAUGCGUAGAUAUCAGAAGGAACGCCGGCGGCGAAAAGCAACUCUCUGGCCUAUAACUGACACUGAGUGUGCGAAAGCUAGGGGAGCAAACGGGAUUAGAUACCCCGGUAGUCCUAGCCGUAAACGAUGGGCACUAAGUAGAGGGG
rnacentral:rRNA from 1 species